GAUGAACGCUAGCUACAGGCUUAACACAUGCAAGUCGAGGGACCGGCGCACGGGUGAGUAACACGUAUCCAACCUGCCCUUUACUCGGGGAUAGCCUUUCGAAAGAAAGAUUAAUACCCGAUAUAAAGGAUGGGGAUGCGUUCCCUUAGGUUGUUGGGGAGGUAACGGCCGACCAAGCCUUCGAUGGAUAGGGGUGCUGAGAGGAAGGUCCCCCACCGUUGAACUGAGACACGGUCCAAACUCCUACGGGAGGCAGUAGUGAGGAACAUUGGUCAAUGGGCGUUAGCCUGAACCAGCCAAGUAGAGUGAAGGAGGAAGGCUUAUGGGUCGUAAACUGCUUUUAUAUAAGAAUAUGUAUUAUAUGAAUAAGGAUCGGCUAACUCCGUGCCAGCAGCCGCGGUAAUAC
rnacentral:rRNA from 1 species